rnacentral:tRNA from 1 species
GUGGUCGUAGCUCAGUGGUAGAGCCCGCGGAUGUGGCCCGCGUUACGAGAGUUCGAUCCUCUCCGAUCACCCCA